rnacentral:sRNA from 1 species
GCAAGAGUUCCAAGCGCAAGGACUUGGCGCAAGCUCGCUUGCGGACAAGUCCUUGCAUUUGGAACUCGAAAAAACAUGAGUAUGCAGCCGUUUUUCCGCAGGAAAAACGAGCGGAAUACGAAUGGUUUUGAGGAUUGCGAAAGCGCAAAGCGCGAAGCAAUCCGU